GAUGAACGCUGGCGGCGUGCUUAACACAUGCAAGUCGAACGGAAAGGCCAGUGCUUGCACUGGUACUCGAGUGGCGAACGGGUGAGUAACACGUGGGUGAUCUGCCCCGCACUUCGGGAUAAGCCUGGGAAACUGGGUCUAAUACCGGAUAGGACAAUGGUUUGGAUGCCGUUGUGGAAAGUUUUUUCGGUGUGGGAUGAGCUCGCGGCCUAUCAGCUUGUUGGUGGGGUAAUGGCCUACCAAGGCGUCGACGGGUAGCCGGCCUGAGAGGGUGUACGGCCACAUUGGGACUGAGAUACGGCCCAGACUCCUACGGGAGGCAGCAGUGGGGAAUAUUGCACAAUGGGCGCAAGCCUGAUGCAGCGACGCCGCGUGGGGGAUGACGGCCUUCGGGUUGUAAACUCCUUUCGCUAGGGACGAAGCGUAUUUGUGACGGUACCUGGAGAAGAAGCACCGGCUAACUACGUG
rnacentral:rRNA from 1 species